rnacentral:rRNA from 1 species
CCUACGAGAGGCAGCCGUGGGGAAUAUUGCACAAUGGGGGGAACCCUGAUGCAGCGACGCCGCGUGAGUGAAGAAGUAUUUCGGUAUGUAAAGCUCUGUCAGCAGGGAAGAAGAAAGACGGUACCUGACCAAGAAGCACCUGCUAACUACGUGCCAGCAGCCUCGGUAAUACGUAGGGAGCAAGCGUUAUCCGGAUUUUCUGGGUGUAAAGGGAUCGUAGACGGCCGUGCAAGUCUGGCGUGAAAGGCAGGGUCCCAACCCCUGGACUGCUCUGGAAACUGUCCGGCUGGAGUGCAGGAGAGGUAAGUGGAAUUCCUAGUGUAGCGGUGAAAUGCGUAGAUAUUAGGAGGAACACCAGUGGCGAAGGCGGCUUACUGGACUGUAACUGACGUUGAGGCUCGAAAGCGUGGGGAGCAAACAGGAUUAGAUACCCGGGUAGUC